CAAAAGCCUGACUGCACCAGACUCUUCAGGGCAAGGGUGGUGGCUGGAGGACAAGGGGAAGUUCCUGGGAAAGGAUUACAGGCUGCCACAAGUUCAGAGUGGCAAAUAUUUAGGUCCUGCUCCAAUAGAUCCAUCUCUGUUGUGUAACCCAGGCAUGCUAUGAAGAAUGUCUACAGCUGUCUCAAGAGAUAUUGAAGGAAACUG